UACGAAGGGGGCUAGCGUUGCUCGGAAUUACUGGGCGUAAAGGGCGCGUAGGCGGAUAUUUAAGUCGGGGGGUGAAAGCCCGGGGCUCAACCUCGGAAUUGCCUUCGAUACUGGAUAUCUUGAGUUCGGGAGAGGUGAGUGGAAUGCCGAGUGUAGAGGUGAAAUUCGUAGAUAUUCGGCGGAACACCAGUGGCGAAGGCGACUCACUGGCCCGAUACUGACGCUGAGGCGCGAAAGGCGUGGGGAGCAAACAGG
rnacentral:rRNA from 1 species